UACGUAGGGGGCAAGCGUUGUCCGGAUUUAUUGGGCGUAAAGAGCGUGUAGGCGGCCAGACAGGUCCGUUGUGAAAACUCGAGGCUCAACCUCGAGACGCCGAUGGAAACUGUCUGGCUAGAGUCCGGAAGAGGAGAGUGGAAUUCCCGGUGUAGCGGUGAAAUGCGCAGAUAUCGGGAAGAACACCCGUGGCUAAGGCGGCUCUCUAGUACGGUACUGACGCUGAGACGCGAAAGCGUGGGGAGCGAACAGG
rnacentral:rRNA from 1 species